rnacentral:tRNA from 1 species
UAGAUAUUAGUAAAAUUAUUACAUAACUUUGUCAAAGUUAAAUUACUGGUUUAAGUCCUGUAUAUCUUU